GCAUAUCAAUAAGCGGAGGAAAAGAAACCAACAGGGAUUGCCCCAGUAACGGCGAAGUGAAGCGGCAACAGCUCAAAUUUGAAAUCUGGCUUCGGCCCGAGUCUGUAAUUUGCAGAGGAUGUUUAUGGUGCGGUACCUUCCGAGUUCCCUGGAACGGGACGCCACAGAGGGUGAGAGCCCCGUCUGGUUGGAUACCAAACCUGUGUUAAACUCCUUCAACGAGUCGAGUAGUUUGGGAAUGCUGCUCUAAAUGGGAGGUAAAUCUCUUCUAAAGCUAAAUAUUGGCCAGAGACCGAUAGCGCACAAGUAGAGUGAUCGAAAGAUGAAAAGCACCUUGAAAAGGGGGUUAAACAGUACGUGAAAUUGUUAAAAGGGAAGCGUUUAUGACCAGACUUGUGUCGUGUGGCUCAUCCGAGGUUCUCCCCGGUGCACUCCACACGGCUCAGGCCAACAUCGGUUCUCGUUGGGGGAUAAGAACAGCAGGAACGUGGCCCUCUUCGGAGGGUGUUAUAGCCUGCUGUACGAUACCCUGAUGGGGACCGAGGACCGCGCUUCGGCUAGGAUGUUGGCGUAAUGGUCAUUAGCGACCCGUCUUGAAACACGGACCAAGGAGUCGUCCAUUAGAGCGAGCGUUUGGGUGUAAAACCCGCACGCGUAAUGAAAGUGAAAUUAGGUGAGAGCUUCGGCGCAUCAUCGACCGAUCCUGAAGUUUACGGAUGGAUUUGAGUAAGAGUUUUAACGGACGGACCCGAAAGACAGUGAACUAUGCUUGAAUAGGGUGAAGCCAGAGGAAACUCUGGUGGAGGCUCGCAGCGGUUCUGACGUGCAAAUCGAUCGUCAAAUUUGAGCAUGGGGGCGAAAGACUA
rnacentral:rRNA from 1 species